UACCAGCACCCCGAGUGGUCGGGACGUUUAUUGGGCCUAAAGCAUCCGUAGCCGGUUCUACAAGUCUUCCGUUAAAUCCAACUGCUUAACAGGUGGGCUGCGGAAGAUACUAUAGAGCUAGGAGGCGGGAGAGGCAAGCGGUACUCGAUGGGUAGGGGUAAAAUCCGUUGAUCCAUUGAAGACCACCAGUGGCGAAGGCGGCUUGCCAGAACGCGCUCGACGGUGAGGGAUGAAAGCUGGGGAGCAACCGG
rnacentral:rRNA from 1 species